rnacentral:rRNA from 2 species
GCGGCGUGCCUAAUACAUGCAAGUCGAGCGAAUGGAUUAAGAGCUUGCUCUUAUGAAGUUAGCGGCGGACGGGUGAGUAACACGUGGGUAACCUGCCCAUAAGACUGGGAUAACUCCGGGAAACCGGGGCUAAUACCGGAUAACAUUUUGAACCGCAUGGUUCGAAAUUGAAAGGCGGCUUCGGCUGUCACUUAUGGAUGGACCCGCGUCGCAUUAGCUAGUUGGUGAGGUAACGGCUCACCAAGGCAACGAUGCGUAGCCGACCUGAGAGGGUGAUCGGCCACACUGGGACUGAGACACGGCCCAGACUCCUACGGGAGGCAGCAGUAGGGAAUCUUCCGCAAUGGACGAAAGUCUGACGGAGCAACGCCGCGUGAGUGAUGAAGGCUUUCGGGUCGUAAAACUCUGUUGUUAGGGAAGAACAAGUGCUAGUUGAAUAAGCUGGCACCUUGACGGUACCUAACCAGAAAGCCACGGCUAACUACGUGCCAGCAGCCGCGGUAAUACGUAGGUGGCAAGCGUUAUCCGGAAUUAUUGGGCGUAAAGCGCGCGCAGGUGGUUUCUUAAGUCUGAUGUGAAAGCCCACGGCUCAACCGUGGAGGGUCAUUGGAAACUGGGAGACUUGAGUGCAGAAGAGGAAAGUGGAAUUCCAUGUGUAGCGGUGAAAUGCGUAGAGAUAUGGAGGAACACCAGUGGCGAAGGCGACUUUCUGGUCUGUAACUGACACUGAGGCGCGAAAGCGUGGGGAGCAAACAGGAUUAGA